ensembl:lncRNA
GCGAGACGUGCCGAGGCGAGGCGAGGCAAAGGCUAAGCGAGGCGAGGAGAAGCGGGGUAUGUAACGAGGCAAGGCGGGACGAGGUUAGGUGACGAAAAGGCGAGGCGAGGUGAAGAAGGCAGGGCAAGGGGAGGCGAGGCGAGGCGAGGUGAGGCGAGGCGAGGCUAAGGCGAGGCGAGGCGAUGCGAGGCGUGGUGAGGAGAGGCGAGGCGAGGCAAAGGCAAGGCUAAGGCGAGGUAAGGUGAGGCGUGGCAGGGCGAGACGAGGUGAGGGGUGGCGAGGCAAGGCAAAGGUGAGGCGAGGCGUUGCAAAGUGAGGGAAAGGCGAGGCGAGGUGAAGUGUUGCAAAGUGAGAGAAAAGCGAGCCGAGGCGUGACGAGGCGAGGCGAGCUGUGGCGAUGCAAGUAGAGGCGAGGCAAGGCAAGGUGAGGUGAGGCGAGGCGAGGCG